AAACUUUUAGCCAAGUGUCCAACUUUAACCCAUGAAUCGGCGCGAUUCGCUGCGUGGCCCUUUCCAUCAAUUUUCUCAGAAACCAAACAAACAAUUACAUCAGGACAGAUGCAACCACACAAUUAGUCAUCGGGCAUCACUUCUCAUGAAUUCGAUGAGGGAAUUUGUGGAUCAAUCACAAGCGUCACAGGCAGCGGUCUCUGCUCAGAAACGACAUAUCGCGAGGAUAUGAGCGGCUGAGCCCACAGGAAAGAUGAAAAUCAAGGGAAAAAGGACAAAACAAAAAGGGAGAAAAGAAUAAUACCCUUUAGCCCCCUUUAUGCUAUUCAUUGGGUUAUGAUUUUAAAAGAUAAAGACUUUUGGAGACUUCUAGUGUUCGAUCAGCACUUUCGUUGAUACUCAUAUCAAAGAUUUGGAGAAUGAUGGAAUGAUAUCAGCUCUCACGGAGCUAAGUGAUUCCGGUGCUACUCAAAGACAGAAUGCCCUUGUCAACGGACCGCCCUUUGGAGGACAACAUUCUACAUAUCUUUCAGGCAGGUAUUUCGUUCGAGACCAAGGCUGUAAAUUGAUAUAGGCUUUACCCUUAGAGAGGAAGGUACUUACUCCACACACAUGGGACUUUUUUUUGUAAAUCUAGGAAGCUGGGAAUCUCACAAUUAAAUUUCUGAAGCCAAGAACAUGGGUUAACCUUUUUAGAUGAAUGGAUUUUACUCAAUUUGGUGAGAAAUGAGUGUAAUCGUUUUCAUGAGAAUGAUGUUCACCUGCCUCAUUUGUAUAUGAGAGGAGAAAGUUGAGAAUCUUUGUACUUAAUGGUUUAACUUCUUUUGUUUCAAAGUUAUCCGUAAACCUGGAGUUAGGUUUGAGAA